AAGCGUUGAUGAUUCGGUCGUGGGCUGC
rnacentral:sRNA from 1 species